CCAGAAUGUCAAUUUUGCUGUUUUGUUCUCACGCUUGCAUUUACUUUACAUUGAAUUCUGUUGGUAAAUCUUGUAUAUGGCCUCUUGAGUGGGUAAUACAGGGAUUGUCUUGCAAAUGGUAUAGUCCAAUCAAAUUGGGCUUUGCUUUUGUUGUCUAAAAGCAAAGUUUUUCCUAUCUAAAAGGUGAGCUCAUAUAUUGGGACUGAUGUAGACUGAUUUUUUUAUUUUUUUUGGUCUAGAUACACCUCUUGGUGAUUCAAGUGUCCCAAUACACAGGAGCAGGUCACCUCAGCAAACUCCACACAGGAGACCAUCCCGGUCGCCACCCAGAACCAUUGCUCAGCUUACUUCUCCAAAAACGGCUGAUUUCUACCACUAGUAGCCAUGGGAGCAUUUCUCCAGGCAGUCACCAUGUGAGUGCUAAAAGGCCAAGUGAGCAGAGGACAGCUCCUAAUAAUAAAGCACUUCAUCGAACAGACAAAAGUGUGAAGGCCAGGGUAGUGGAAGACCUCAUAGCAGAGACGCUAAGAUAUGUGCCUCACCGAGGAGAAAAGGAAUGACAGGGGGCAGUUUGAACUGAAAAGCUGGACAGACAGAGGAAGAAAAUGGUUCAUUUUUAAUUUCUAAUAAACGUGGUCAUCGGACCUAAACCCA